UGAUGAAUCAGUACUAUUUCAAACUCUAUCUAAGUGUAAUGAUAGUUUUUAUUUUCCCAGUGUUUUGUAGUUCAGUGAGAACAGCCAUUGUUAUCUCCUUUCAUUUUAUAGAAAUAAUGAUUCAUAGCAUGCAUAUGUUUUUCCCAGUGCCCCCAGCUGCUAAAUGACCAAGCCAGUCUGAAAUUGUCUUGUGGCUUCAAAUCCAGGCUUCUUCCUACCACUCUCACUACAAAUCUCUGCUCAUCGAGGAUGAAUCCUUUCCUUCACUUUCCUGGGGCCACCAUUGUGUGCUGCCUUUAUUAUAGAAACCAUGCUGAUUUCUCUCUCCCUCAAGACUGCAAAAUCUUCACAGAAAACUUAUCAGACUUGCAGAGUGCUUGCCACAUGAUGAUCCUCACUGUAAACACUGGCUGGGAAAAUGACUGAAUGAGCAAGGGAAAAAAACAUCUUAUCCAGCCUAGUGGCUGGGAAGAUUUUGAUGCAUCUGUGUAUCUAACAUAGCACAGUUCUCAGUGCUUUACAUGUAGCAGGCACAUUGUGUAUUUUGUUGAAAAGAAAAAAAGUGUGUGGGUGAACAAAGGAGUAAAGAAUGAAUGAACAAAUAAAUGGUCAAAAAUGUGUGGGAUACUGGGAUGGAAAAUCAAGGUGAACACAAGUCAUGCUAAAUACUAGAGUCCCUUUAAAAGAAUUAAUAACAUUUGAAAUCAGUGUGUAACCUUCUAGAUGUCUGAAGAAAUCUGAAAUUUCUGCUCUUACUCAAAAUAUAGGAAUAAGUAAUGUACAUGUUUUUUUUGUU
rnacentral:lncRNA from 1 species